rnacentral:rRNA from 1 species
UACGUAGGGGGCUAGCGUUGUCCGGAAUCAUUGGGCGUAAAGCGCGUGUAGGCGGCCCGGUAAGUCCGCUGUGAAAGUCGGGGGCUCAACCCUCGGAUGCCGGUGGAUACUGUCGGGCUAGAGUGCGGAAGAGGCGAGUGGAAUUCCUGGUGUAGCGGUGAAAUGACGCAGAUAUCAGGAGGAACACCUAUUGCGAAGGCAGCUCGCUGGGACGUAACUGACGCUGAGACGCGAAAGCGUGGGGAGCAAACAGG